CUGAAAUGGUUGUACAUAUAUGUUUGGUUUGGUGUUUGUAGGUUUACCCAAAUUGGGGUGGCAAAUGGCCUAUUUUUCUCCACAUGGGUAGAGACACAGGCGUGUGUCUCAGCUGUGUGCAACACAAGGUUAUGUGGCACGAUCGUUUGUCCCCUAGGGUACCCUACAGUUGUAAGUUAGGCUCAAGCACGGUCAAGGCACAUAGGCGUGUGGCUAGCCGUGUGGCCGAAGUCAGAUUUGACCACGGC
rnacentral:lncRNA from 1 species